rnacentral:tRNA from 1 species
GGAGGUGGCAGGCGACCUGGUGGCGCUCCUGGUCUUCAAAACCAGGGUGGGGCCUUACGGCUCCAGGUGGGUUCGAUUCCCAUACACCUCCGCCA